rnacentral:rRNA from 1 species
CGCGUAGGCGGCCGAUCAAGUCGGGCGUGAAAGCCCCGGGCUCAACCUGGGAAUGGCGCUUGGGACUGGUUGGCUUGAGUUCGGGAGAGGAGAGUGGAAUUCCCAGUGUAGAGGUGAAAUUCGUAGAUAUUGGGAAGAACACCGGUGGCGAAGGCGGCUCUCUGGACCGAGACUGACGCUGAGGCGCGAAAGCGUGGGGAGCAAACA